GAAAAAUAUUUGUGGAAAUUACUUUAUUUUAUUUAUAAUGAACGUUAAGACCAAAUUCAUUCGAAAUUAAAUUUGAUGAUUCGUCCAAAAUAAAAAUGACAGUAAGAAUCUCAACAGCGUAUUUUUACAAAUGAUAAAUUAAUAUGUGAUUAUUAUAUGACUUCUAGUAAUGAUAACCAUAAUCAAAUUGAAACAUAUUCAACUGUGGUUCUGUUCAUCGGAUCAUGAAGAAUAUGUUUUUUUCUUCAGAAAUAGAAUGCUUUAUUUGAUUAUAAAGCUUCGUAAUAGUUUGAGAAGGUGAGUAUUAUACAACUAUUCGCCAAAAUAUAUAAAUGUUGAAUAUUUAUCAAUUCUCGAAAAAUGUUUGGAUUCAAUAACUUUACAUAUUGUGAGAAUUCGAAGAGAAAAGAGAUCCAUGUUAUUUCAGUCCAUUUUCGCCUGAACCAUUAUUCAGACAUCUUAUAUAGUGAGACGAGAGGGGUGAACAACGGACCAUAUAAAUUUGCAUAAUGCAGGAAUCUUUUCGCAGAAGUAGUUUGUGUUGUUGAGCCAUCAAGACAAAAAUAUGAUCAGAGCAGUUAUUAUCAUUGUGGCAAACUUUUUUUUUUGUCCGGUAGUUGAUAUGGUUAAUCUGCUACCAUGUACAGAAAAUAUCACACCCCAAGCUGAAGAAGAAGCAUGCAGGAUAAUAAAAGAUGCCACUCCUCCAGGAUUCACAAAUAUAGGAGUCCGACCCGAAGUGAGACUCGGAAGAAAUCCUCAUAGAUGGAUUGGGAUUUUUAAUAACAAUGCUGGAACUUACGAAACUGGAUGCCAAGCAAUGUACCAUGUGAAACAACAAUUUAGGAGAUUGGUUCCUCAAGGAUCAGAUCUAUCUUCAAUCAGAAUUAUACCCAGCACAUCAGGGACAACAAUUGAAGUCGAAUAUUUAGUGAAUUGCUUCUGUACUAAGGUUCCUCGAAGAAGACGAAAUAUUUUUGCACAAUGCCAAAUUCGAGGCUACACAACAGAAUCUGGUAUAUGUAAAAAAUGAGUAAUUUCGAAGUUCUUUGUAAUAAUGUGGAAUGAUCUGAUUUUUUUUAACAACGAAAUGAAAGUAGGUAAAAUAAUAUUUUUUGUAAUUUGAAAGACCUGAAUGUAGCUCCCAUUUCAUAAUGGAAAGUAUUGACGAAAAGUUUCUUAUCAAGACUGUAAUUUAUUAUUAUUUCUAAUGGAUAUUUUCGAGGGUACUGUGUAGUUACUCCUUGUUUUAGAAGUUUAGUUUUUGCCAAAUGUUAUUAAUUUGUUAUGAUCAUAUUUUUGUCGUUGUAAUAUACAUUUAACUAAGGAAUAAAUGAGUGUUUAAUA